rnacentral:rRNA from 1 species
GACGAACGCUGGCGGCGUGCUUAACACAUGCAAGUCGAACGGUGAAGGGAUCAGCUUGCUGGUUCUGGAUGAGUGGCGAACGGGUGAGUAACACGUGAGUAACCUGCCCCCUUCUUCUGGAUAACCGCAUGAAAGUGUGGCUAAUACGGGAUAUUCUGGGUCUGUCGCAUGGCGGGCCCGGGAAAGAUAUUGUUUCGGUGGGGGAUGGGCUCGCGGCCUAUCAGCUUGUUGGUGGGGUGAUGGCCUACCAAGGCGGUGACGGGUAGCCGGCCUGAGAGGGUGGACGGUCACACUGGGACUGAGACACGGCCCAGACUCCUACGGGAGGCAGCAGUGGGGAAUAUUGCACAAUGGGCGCAAGCCUGAUGCAGCGACGCCGCGUGAGGGAUGGAGGCCUUCGGGUUGUAAACCUCUUUCGCCAGUGAAGCAGGCCUGCUUCCUUGUGGGUGGGUUGACGGUAGCUGAUAAAGAAGCGC